GGUCCCAUGGUGUAAUGGUCAGCAGCACUCUGGACUUUGAAUCCAGCGAUCUGAGUUCACAUCUCAGUGGGACCU